AGGGGGAGCCCCAGAUCCCCCACGCCGGCGUUGCACACACCAAUUCUCGAGGCUGAUGUUUUAGGCAGCGGUUGUGUACUCUGGCUCCAGACUUUUACAGAGCUGUGCUUUGUGUGUGGCGUCUGUUCUCCAGGGUUGCGAGAGCCAGGAGUUCCUCUUCAGUACUCGGGCUGCAUGCGCCUAGGGUUACCUUCCCUAGGUGCCCUCUAUGUAUGAUUCAACAUUUCCUUGGUAACUCAUCGGCCUUCUUAUGCUGUCCUGCCUCUGAAAGAGCUUCACGUAUAAAGGCCAUGCCACCAGCUCAGUUAGACAUCACCCAUAAAUUACUGUCGUUCAGAUCCUACGUUGAAAGCCGUCCUCCAAAGGAACAGACAGCUCUUCUCCUUGAUGAAAAAACAUCCAAGAAUGGCUACACAAAGAUGAAGAAUUAUCAGUGUUAUAUGACGAAUUAGCUGUAAUUUUAGGACGCUUGAAUAGUUUGGACCAGCUGGACCAAGUAAUUGAUAACUCGCCAUCUGAGGAACUGCCCCUCAACAUCCAAUCAUCUGACAGAUUUCAGUUAAAAGAGGUUAGUCUCAGAAUAGUGUAGAGUGGCUUGUGUUUUGUGACAAGGUCUU